rnacentral:rRNA from 1 species
CUACCUUAACCUAUUCUCAAACUUUAAAUAGGUAAGAAAUGAAUGUUGCUUUAGUGAACAUUCAUAUAGAAUGGUGAGUUGCAAGUGGGCCGUUUUUGGUAAGCAGAACUGGCGAUUUGGGAUGAACCAAACGCAGAGUUAAAGUGCCAAAAUGUACGCUAAUGUAGAUCCCAUAAAAGGUGUUGAUUCAUUUAGACAGCAGGACGGUGGUCAUGGAAGUCGAAAUCCGCUAAGAAGUGUGUAACAACUUACCUGCCGAAUGAAUUAGCCCUGAAAAUUGAUGGCGCUCAAGCGUACUACUUAUACUCUGCCGUCAAGACACACUCUAAAAAAUGAAGUCUUGACGAGUAGGUGUGCGUGGAGGUUGCAGAGAAGCUUACCCCGUGAGGGGGAGUGUAGCAGCCUUUAGUGCAGAUCUUGGUGGUAGUAGCAAAUAUUCAAGUGAGAACCUUGAAGGCCGAAGUGGAGAAAGGUUCGCGAGAACAGCAUUUGAUCGCGAGUCAGUCGAU